rnacentral:rRNA from 1 species
GAUGAACGCUGGCGGCGUGCCUAAUACAUGCAAGUCGAGCGAACGGACGAGAAGCUUGCUUCUCUGAUGUUAGCGGCGGACGGGUGAGUAACACGUGGCUAACCUACCUAUAAGACUGGGAUAACUUCGGGAAACCGGAGCUAAUACCGGAUGAUAUUUUGAACCGCAUGGUUCAAAAGUGAAAGACGGUCUUGCUGUCACUUAUAGAUGGAUCCGCGCUGCAUUAGCUAGUUGGUAAGGUAACGGCUUACCAAGGCAACGAUGCAUAGCCGACCUGAGCGGGUGAUCGGCCAGACUGGAACUGAGACACGGUCCAGACUCCUACGGGAGGCAGCAGUAGGGAAUCUUCCGCAAUGGGCGAAAGCCUGACGGAGCAACGCCGCGUAAGUGAUGAAGGUCUUCGGAUCGUAAAACUCUGUUAUUAGGGAAGAACAUAUGUGUAAGUAACUGUGCACAUCUUGACGGUACCUAAUCAGAAAGCCACGGCUAACUACGUG